GUGCACCAGGCGCGAAUCCUUCGCAAUGCGGAAACCGCGACGAGGGACUCCCAGUGCCUACGCUCAGCGUAGGCUGUUCCGAGCCUAGAAGCUCGGGGAGUAAGGGCUGGGUAAGACGGGUGCCAGCCGCCGCGGUAAUACCCGCAGCCCGAGUGGUGGCCACUAUUAUUGGGCCUAAAGCGUCCGUAGCCGGCCCGGUAAAUGCCUGGGUAAAUCGUGAGGCCUAACCUCACGAAUUCCGGGUAGACUGCCGGGCUAGGGGACCGGAGGAGGGGAGAGGGGUACUCCAGGGGUAGGGGUGAAAGUCCUGUAAUCCCUGGAGGACCACCGGGUGGCGAAGGCGCUCUCCUAGGAC
rnacentral:rRNA from 1 species